UUCACUCGAGUGUCUCCAAAACGUAUUCCC
rnacentral:piRNA from 1 species